rnacentral:tRNA from 1 species
GGGCGGUUAGCUCAGCUGGGAGAGCGGCGGCGUCACAAGCCGUAGGUCGCAGGUUCAAUCCCUGCACCGCCCA